GGAAGGCAUGUUUGGAACCAGGGUCUCUGUUAGCAUCUAGGACUGUCCUCAUGGGGUACACUGAGUCCCCCUGGAGACCUCAAGGAGUCUGGAAACUUCUCUCUACCGCUGGUCCUGGUGUUUGGGGGGGACCAAGGAGGUAGAAAUCGCAACUUCCUUUGAAGGGCAAGCUGAAAGGUAGGUAGAUCACCUCUCUUGUGCCCCAUUGGCUAGAACUAAUCACAUGACCACACUUAGCUGCAAGGGAGACUAGGAAAUGUAGUAUUUAGCCUGGCAAUGGCGAGCCUUAUUAAAACUCAGGAAUGCGUGUUCAGUUCCUAAAGGGAAGAUGGCAGAAUGCAUACUCGGCAAUAGCCAGCAGCCUCUACCCUGUACAAUUCAGGGAUAUGAUUCGGGAAGGUGCUCAGCCCAGGGCCAGGUGCAUGGCUGAUGCUCAGGAAGUAUGCGCUGUUAUCAUUGGUAUCACAGGUAAGUCCUUUACACUUUCCGAAGGGUUACAGGGACCCACUGAGCCCUGGGACCGCUCUGACUGCUUGGUGGGGCCCUCUAUCCACGUCCUGCAUCCUCUAGGUGAUGAGAAGCACCGAGACACAGCAGCCCCAGCCCAAACCCUCAGGGCCCACACCCCAGGCCAUGGAGGAUCUCGGCCUCGUCUCUCCCUUCAAAGAAAAAUACAGGAAAACUGCCUUGUCUUUGGGGCUCGGGGCCCAUAAGGAGAGAAGGGUGACAUGGGGGCCUUGCGGCCCUGCCCACGGCUGCCUCCACAGAGCGUGGCGACCUCUGCCACCCUAGGGGAAGAGGUCGGGGUCCACCUAGCGGCACUCGGGCUCUCAAACGCUGGUCGGAGGACCUGGCAAGCGUCUUUGCUUCUCCUAAUGCAGCACCAGCUGAUUUGAGCUCAGAAAUAUUCCCUCCCUAAGUAUUUCCUCUGGAAUGGAAGUUCUUCCCAGCCCAAGGAGAACUGAUGGGUGACACAGCAAGGAGGAACAUGACCUCCAGUGGGCACCAUGUCCCUGUGGGUCCCUCACCCCUAGCCGCUGAGCAGAAGGAUCUCUUCUCCUGCAGAUGCUGGAUUCAGCGUCAGGAGCUGAGACCCCCACAUCAGACAGAUCCUGGCUCUGCCUCUUAGCAGCCGUGCGAGCUGAUCUCUCCAAUUACGCGGGGACAAGCAGGGCAUCUGUAUCUCCAUUUAUUGGAAAUAUUUAUAAAAUAAUCCAGGUGAGGCGCUGUGGAGAGAAAGGCCUCCAUGAACGGUGCCUGCUCAGAUCGGGGUUAUGACUAUUAUUCUCUUCCAUUCGUUCCAGUCCCUGACUGUCUUCCACCUGUCCACACCUCCCUGCUAGUGACGCCUUCCAGCCUGCGGUCCGCACGCUGAGCCUUUUCUUAGGUCCCCAGUCUGGGCAGGUCCCCCGCCUCUGCUAGCUUUGCCCUCUAGCUUUUUAUUUCCCAGCACUUUCCACGAUGGAUUCAUUGUGGGGGUGGAGCAGUGCCCUACAGAUCAGGAGUCCUGGGGCAGCAGGGACUGUGAUCAUCCCGUUCACCCAGCGCCUGGCACAGGGCACAGCGCAGUGAGGAUUCUAGUAAUUGCUUGUGAAAAGAACGAAUGGAUGAAUCAAUGGACGGAAGGGUGAGUGAUAAGGCAUUUUGCCAUCAGCCCGAGAAUGCGUAUUUUAGAGCAGAGUUUACAAACUUGAAAAGACUCCGAUUGGAAUCUCACCUUUGUCGCCGAGUUGCUGGGUGACCAGAGGCAAGACUCUUCUUCCUGAGCCACAGUUUCCUCAUCUGGACAAUGAGGCUGGCAACACCUUCGUGGAGAAUGGCGAGGCGUCACUGAGAGGAUGGGGAAAUGACGCAGAAACGCUGAGCACUCAGCUCAUAGUCACUGCUCAGUAAGCGCCAGCUCUAGUAAUGGCCAUAGUGACGUUAACAUCCUCCUUGAAACAGCAAGCAAGGUGUGCUCUGCACUUUUAUGUCAAAAUCCUCUGGACUGACCCACUCUUCUUGACUACUAGAAAGGCCAGGAAUGGCUGAUAAAAGCUUCUAUUCAUUCA